rnacentral:rRNA from 1 species
GAUGAACGCUGGCGGCGUGCUUAACACAUGCAAGUCGAACGAGAAGUGGAGACGGAAACCUUCGGGCGGAAGACUUUAUUUCGAGUGGCGGACGGGUGAGUAACGCGUGGGUAACCUGCCUCAUACAGGGGGAUAACAGUUGGAAACGACUGUUAAUACCGCAUAAGACCACAGCACCGCAUGGUGCGGGGGUAAAAACUCCGGUGGUAUGAGAUGGACCCGCGUUCGAUUAGCCAGUUGGCGGGGUAACGGCCCACCAAAGCGACGAUCGAUAGCCGAUCUGAGAGGAUGACCGGACACAUUGGGACUGAGACACGGCCCAAACUCCUACGGGAGGCAGCAGUGGGGAAUAUUGCACAAUGGGGGAAACCCUGAUGCAGCGACGCCGCGUGAGUGAAGAAGUAUUUCGGUAUGUAAAGCUCUAUCAGCAGGGAAGAAAAUGACGGUACCUGAGUAAGAAGCCCCGGCUAACUACGU